rnacentral:rRNA from 1 species
GACGAACGCUGGCGGCGUGCCUAAUACAUGCAAGUCGAACGAAGCUGUUUUAACUGGUGCUUGCACCGACUUAAACAACUGAGUGGCGAACGGGUGAGUAACACGUGGGUAACCUGCCCCAAAGCGGGGGAUAACAUUUGGAAACAGAUGCUAAUACCGCAUAACCACAGAAACCACAUGGUUUCUGUGUCAAAGAUGGUUUCGGCUACUACUUUGGGAUGCACCCGCGGCGUAUUAGCUAGUUGGUAAGGUAAUGGCUUACCAAGGCAAUGAUACGUAGCCGAACUGAGAGGUUGAUCGGCCACAUUGGGACUGAGACACGGCCCAAACUCCUACGGGAGGCAGCAGUAGGGAAUCUUCCACAAUGGACGAAAGUCUGAUGGAGCAACGCCGCGUGAGUGAAGAAGGUUUUCGGAUCGUAAAACUCUGUUGUCAGAGAAGAACGUGUGCGAGAGUAACUGCUCGCGCAGUGACGGUAUCUGGCCAGAAAGCCACGGCUAACUACGUGCCAGCAGCCGCCGCAG